AUUUUUCAUUUCAUCCUUUGAUUUCUGUUUUCUUUGAUUAAAGUUUGGCUUUGCGCUGUCUUAUUGCUCCAAUUGAUGUAAAUAUUUGCGGGGUACGUGCUGCGAUUGAUAUUCUUGGCAACAAGUGAAACUUUAAAAUUGAAGAUUGUUCUAUUGUCCGGAGAGACGAUAACAACGUUCUGGGAUUGACCGGUUUUGAUUUUCAAUCAACUACCUGGAGAAGGGUACAGCGACUGACGGAAUUACAGGCGACUGUAUUGUCCUUUAUUGUGAUCACUCCACUCUCUACAUAUCCUGUUGUCUGUAUCCGUGAGUGUGCUGGUGUGUUUGCAUGUAUUAGAAUAGUCAUGAUGCCAACGCUGAUGUCUGUAAAUACCACUAAUGCCCGCUUGCGACCAUCGCCAACAACAUCCCAACACCAACAAUAAUAGGAAAAUGGCCUCGGAAUCGCCUUAUCCUCAUCAGCAUUUCGGUUAAAGCAAUAAGGCACAGCACCAGCUUGACGGUUGUAGUGUGCCCUUAUCUACCAUUACUUUUGAUUUCAUUUAAAGCUGCUUUUCGGUUUCAUUGUGCUUUAUUUAGUGGGAUUUUCAUAUCACAUCUACAUUUUCCUCUUGCUAGAUUACACAAAAACUAUUGGAUAUACGAAGUGAACGCCAGGAAUGAAAAUAUAUAUAUAUAAUUUCUGAUUACUUUCCCCUGUUUUCUACAGAGUUUAAAUUGCAAAUCUGUGCGCUAUCGGUUUAAUGUAGUAUUUCGGGCUCCUAAAGUGGUUAAGUGCUCGGGAGCUUUUGGCCUGAAAUUUCAAUUUUAAGGCAGUAUGUCGGAUGUCAUCCAGAAAUCCGAAAAAUUGCAAAAUUUAUUUGCGGAUAACACUUAUCUCCAACAAUUACAGUAUUGCAUGUUUAUUUCGUAAAGCAUUUUUUAAUAAAAC